UACAGAGGUCUCAAGCGUUGUUCGGAUUCAUUGGGCGUAAAGGGUGCGUAGGCGGCGCGGUAAGUCGGGUGUGAAAUCUCGGGGCUUAACUCCGAAACUGCAUUCGAUACUGCCGUGCUUGAGGACUGGAGAGGAGACUGGAAUUUACGGUGUAGCAGUGAAAUGCGUAGAUAUCGUAAGGAAGACCAGUGGCGAAGGCGGGUCUCUAGACAGUUCCUG
rnacentral:rRNA from 1 species